rnacentral:rRNA from 1 species
AACAUUGUCUUAUGAACACAAUAUUAGAUAAUACCUGCCCAGUGACACUGUUCAACGGCCGCGGUAUCCUAACCGUGCAAAGGUAGCAUAAUCAUUUGCCUAUUAAUUGUAGGCUAGAAUGAACGGAUUAACGAAAUAAAAGCUGUCUCAAUUAAUCAACUAAAAAUUAUUUUCUAUCUGAAGAAAGGUAGAUAAUCUCGAAGGACAAGAAGACCCUAUAGAGCUUAAUUUUAACUAUAGAAUCAAACUAUAUAAAUAUUCGGUUGGGGCGACCCAGGGCAAAUUAAUCACCCAUUAAAUAAAAGAUAAAUAAAUCUAAUAAAUGACCCUAUAAAGAUCAUGAAAACAAGCUACCUUAGGGAUAACAGGCUAAUCCCACUUAAGAGUUCUUAUCAAUAGUGGGGUUUGGCACCUCGAUGUUGGCUUAGGGUAUCUCUAUAGCGCAAAAGUUAUAUAAAGAUGGUUUGUUCAACCAGUAAUUCCCUACGUGAUCUGAGU